AGGAAGUCACUGGGUGGGGGCCAGGCCAAGGGUGAGCAGAUAAAGGCAGGAGGCUUGUCCAAGGGGUGGCCAGGCACCCAGGACAGAGGACAGACACAGACGCCCAAAGGUCAGCAGGAGAGUCUUCUCCCCACCUGCUUCUGAAUAAACUACUUCAAGUGUGGACAUCGAUUGGCACAGCCCACGGGAUCAGGCGGGUCAUCCCAGUCCCGGCCCAGGGUGCCCCCAAGGACCACUCAGCUCUGGGUCAGGUCCAGCCAGCCUGGGGUCCCAGCAUCGCAGUGUCCACGCGACACCACCGGGCGCUCACCGCACUCGGUGCUGAAGAAUAAGCAAGGAAAAUCGUCCGAGGACACAGGCUGGC